AAUGAACGUUGGCGGCGUGGAUUAGGCAUGCAAGUCGAGCGAGAACCGUAGCAAUACGGGGACAGCGGCGAAAGGGACAGUAAUGUGUAGGUACCUACCCCCGGGUUCGGGAUAGCUGCGGGAAACUGCAGGUAAUACCGAAUAAUGUCUUCGGACCAAAGGUGUGAUUCCACCUGGGGAGGGGCCUGCAUCCUAUUAGCUUGUUGGUGGGGUAACGGCUUACCAAGGCGACGAUGGGUAGCGGGUGUGAGAGCAUGACCCGCGUCAUUGGGACUGAGACCCGGCCCAGACACCUACGGGUGGCUGCAGUCGAGGAUCUUCGGCAAUGGGCGCAAGCCUGACCGAGCGACGCCGCGUGCGGGAUGAAGGCCUUCGGGUUGUAAACCGCUGUCGUAGAGGAGGAAAUGCAGGAGGGUUCUCCCUUCUGUUUGACCUAUUCUAGGAGGAAGUACGGGCUAAGUUCGUGCCAGCCGCCGCAGUAA
rnacentral:rRNA from 1 species